rnacentral:lncRNA from 1 species
CUUUUAAGUUUUAGGGGCAAUAUUAAAAGACCGAUAUGUAGGAUAAAGUAAAAUUCGUAUUUCUCAUAAUCAUUAAUACCGGGUCUGUCUGUCUGCUCUUGUCUUGUAUUGUGCUGACUUUGAUGAUUUUUUUUAUGACUAGAUUUAAAUAUAGUGACAGUGCAGUAUUAUACUUUAAGUUCUAGUACUGCUUAAUUCAACACUAGGAACCAUCUUGACCUUCUUUUACAGUAUUAAUGAUUCUUUUAUUAUUGAGUACCCUCAGCAACUAUGAAGAUGAAGAACAGGAAUAAAAAUUUUGACCAUUGAUCAUUUGUAUUUUUUC